rnacentral:lncRNA from 1 species
CCAACCCCUGCUCCUUCUGAACCCCCCCUCACUCUCCCCUUUGCCCCACCCCUGCUCCUCGCAGAUCCCCACCCUCCCAUCCGCCCGCACUCCUGCUCCUCCCGGACCCCCACCCCUCCCCUCUGCCCUUACUCCUCCCGGACCCCCACCCUCCACUCCGCUCCCACCCUGCUCCUCUCCGCUCCCCCACUUCCCCCCGCGCCCUCCGCCCCCAACACCUGCUCCUUCCCAGACCUUUAUCCCCCUGUCCCAGUCCCUGAGCCCGUCUCUGCCCCAGUCUCGCUCUUCACUGCACCCCGGCGCCUCCAUUGCGUCCCCUCCCCCCACCUCCUCGUGGCACCCCCAUCUGCUCCCCGCCUCCUCUAGCCGGGGAAAGGCCAGCUGACGCUUCCGGCACCGCCCCUUUCCCGGCAGGGCCGCGCCCCGAGCUUCCCGCCCGCGGGAGCAACACCGCCCCCGCGCCCCACCCCUGGCCCCGCCGCCCGCCGGGGUCUCCCAAGCCCGCUCUGCGCAGGGCGGGGUUCUUCCUCUGCAGCGGGCAGACCGUGGACCGGGGCGCCGGACAGAGGCUGGAGGGGGGCCUAGGUGGGGGGAAUCCCCGGUGGCUGUCCGCUCCCCACCCCCACCGCGGCCACCAGUCACCGCUCCCAGGCGGGACCCGGAGGCUUGCGGUUGACUCUCGAGUGGUGGCUGCCCUGUGGCCCAGAGAGCCCGGUCGCAGGCGGGUGGGUGAGCGCAGAAGGACGCUGGCCCUGGACUGCUGUUUGAGGGGCCCAGCCCCCUCCUCACAGCUCAGCACGCUGGAGCAGUCUCAGGCUGCCUCACCUCACCCAGCCCCUGGGUCAGCUGAGGACAUGGCUGAGGCGCUGCGGCCGCCUGCCGCUCUGGAGCCAGCCACAGACAGGCAGCGCCAGGGAGGUGUGCAGGCAAAGGCUCUCGCUCUGUCCAGCGGGCACCACUGGCAGUGGACGGCGACGGGGAGGGGCCUGCACUCUUGUGGUGAGUGAGCCUGGGGUGAGAGUCCGGGGGGCACAACCUUGAGAACAGUGUCCUCGGUGGGCUGCUGGUGCCCGCCCCUGAAGUUCUGGAAAAGCAACAGAAGACUGCAUGGAGAGGCCCGGAGAACACGCACAGACUCGGUGGCCAAAGGGGCCGGCUCCCAAUAGGUGACCCUACCCCUGGGGUCUGCUGUGCUCGGGCCACGGUGCUGGCUGGGAAGAAACAGGACGUCUCCAAACCGUGCCUUCUCCGUGGGAGAGGCCGGCCCCCUCUCCCAGCUCCCCAGGACCUGCCCGAGACCCUCCUGGGAUUAAGUUGCAGUGUAUCCUGGUGGGGACGUGCUGGCCCAGUGACAAAGGGGCCACAGCCUGAAGGAACCCAGGACCCGCAGCUGUGCCCAGCCAGAUAAGCUGCGUGGGGUGGAUGGUGGAGAGCUUGUGGGUUGUGGAUCCUUUUCUGAGGACGAGGACCCCAGGAGGCGGUGUCCUCUGCUGCUCUGUUUCACGGUUCAGAGGCUCCUGGAGCGCGGGACACACGUGAAGAGGGGUGAAUGUCAGAGCAGCCACUGCAGACGGGGGCUGAAAGGCCUGUGACACCACGGAGCCCGCCAUCCUCUGGAACUGAGAGCAGGGGACGGUCACAGCACUGGACUGGCCGACAGGGACAGGGGUGGCAGCCAGGCGGCAGCGUUUGACCAUCAGUGGCUGUGGAGGCAGCUUUAAUUAGAGUUGCAGGGCUGGAGCGGGGCCAAGGGCCAGAGCCGCGUGGGGUUGUGGAGGUAACUGGUAGAACACCAUGUUCCUAGGAGAGGGACAGGCAGCCCACAAGAGACUGCUCAGCUUGUUGGAGCAGAAGAAAUCAGGGUUGUGUGAUGGGGAGGCCAAGGGCACUCUCUCCAAUAAAAAGUCAUGGCCAGUAGCGGUGGCUCAAGCCGGAAAUCGCAGCAUUUUGCAAGGCCGAGGCAGGUGGAUCACCUUGAGAUCGGGAGUUCAAGACCAGCCUGCUCAACAUAGUGAAACCCCAUCUCUACUAAAAAUACAACAGUUAGCUGGGCAUGGUGGCAGGUGCCUGUAAUCUCAGCUACUCAGGAAGCUGAGGCAGGAGAAUUGCUUGAAUCUGGGAGGUGUUGCAGUGAGCUGAGAUUGCGCCACUGCACUCUAGCCUGGGCAACACAGAGAGACUGUCUCAAAAAUAAGUAAAUAAGGCUGGGCGUGGUGGCUCACACUUGUAAUCCUAGCACUUUAGGAGGCUGGAGUGGGCAGAUCACGAGGUCAGGAGUUCAAGAUCAGCCUGACCAACAUGGUGAAACCCCAUGUCUACAAAAAAUACAAAAAUUAGCUGGGCGUGGUGGUGCAUGCCUGUAAUUCCAGCUACUUGGGAGGCUGAGGCAGGAGAAUUGCUUGAACCCAGGAGGUGGAGGCUGCAGUGAGCCGAGAUUGUGCCACUGCACUCCAGCCUGGGUGACAGAGUGAGACUCUGUCUCAAAAAUAAAUAAAUAGGGUCGGGCGCAGUGGCUCACGCCUGUAAUCCCAGCACUUUGGGAGGCAGAGGCGAGCAGAGCACGAGGUCAGGAGAUCGAGACCAUCCUGGCCAACAAGGUGAAACCCCGUAUCUACUAAAAAUGCAAAAAAUUAGUGGGGCAUGGUGGUGGGCGCCUGUGGUCCCAGCUACUUGGGAGGCUGAGACAGGAGAAUGGCGUGAACCUGGGAGGUGGAGCUUGCAGUGAGCCAAGAUCAUGCCACUGCACUCCAGCCUGGGCAACAGAGCCAGACUCUGUCUCUCUCUCUCUCUGUAUAUAUAUAUAUAUACACACACACACAUAUGUAUACGUGUAUAUAUACACACACACAUAUAUAUAUGUCAUGACGCUGCCCAGUUUCUAGACCUGAGUGGGUUUCUGACCCAGAGAACAGUCACUGAAGUGAAGGCUGAGUCCCUCAGAGGAAGAUGUGCAACACCAGUUAUUUUGGACUGUUGCAAAAAUAACCCAGCUAGAUGCGGUGCCUUUGCUAGAGAGGGUUCCCCAGCCUGUCCAGGUGUGCGGUGAGGCCGCUGCUGGGUGCGCAUUCUUCUCCAUCUGCUGCCUGGCAGGAAGAUCAGUCACACUGCCUUGGAACUCAAAACAGGAAACAGCCAGUUCCUCCCCAGAGCUAUGGGCUAUGGUAACAUUCCUGCCUCUCUCCCAAGAAUCCAGAGACCGGCACCAGCUGAAUGAAUGUCCCCAGGACGUCACACUGGCCCCCUCUAUCGAUGGCCCUGUGCUAAUGAGACCAGAUGAGCAAGACGUGGUGAGCACACUGGGCCCUCCUGAGUGAGAGAAUCCCCUCCAAAGUAGAGGACAGAUAAGUGACUGCCUCUCGCAGCCCCUGCCAGGACACACAGCACCUGGAAGGCUUCUGGGAGCUUGAAGAGCAUAUUCCACAUUUGGGGACUCUGUUCCAACCCAAUACUGGGGGACAUGAAAGGACAACUCUGAACAGGCACAGAGCAGAACCAGCUCUACCGCCGUCCAAGCCCAGCUCCCGUGUCCUGGUUGCUACUUAACAAUCUGACCCUGCAGACCAAAGGCACGGGUGGUAAGGGGUGGGGGUUUAAAGUCAAGUGCCCAUGGAAGACCCUAACCACAGGCAAGUGCAGAGGAGGGCCGUGCUAUCCGCAGUGGGUGUUGCGUGCCUGCAUCGAGGACUCUUGCCGUGGUUCUGGGCCCCUGCGGAGAUGCACGGUCUGGCCAUGGGAUGCCCCAUGGGUGUGUCUCUGCCUUGCUCGCUGUCACUGGCUCUUAGACCUGCCCCAUCAUGAGGCUGAGCAGGCAGCGGUUGUCUUCAGGGGGAUGUGGUACAUCCAGGACAGCAGGAGGCGGCACACAUAGGUUGUCCUGGCCUGUGCGGACCCCACCCCAUGAUUCGUGUUCCCAGAGCAGACCCACAUUCAUACCAUUGCCGCCUCCCUGUCUAACACAGCUUGGCUGAGGUCCAGGCCACUGUCCAGGGACUGCCCUGAGCGUCUGUCCGCCUUGGUGUCAGCGGGAGCUGGCUCAUCCUCUGGUGGGGGCCGUCCUCUGUGGCAAGGUGUCCUGUGCCCUGGUGGGAGCACUCCUCACCAGGUCGUGACAACCCACAGCACCUCCAGAGGUGGUCCCCUGUCCCCUGGGGGACAUGACAGCUGCCUAUUGAGAACCGCUGGCUCACAGAACAUCUCAUCCUGCGGAUCCCGCCCAGUGUCUGUUGCAUUUGACCAAGGGACGCGUUUACAGCAAACUCAGGGGUGGGCUUGACCGAGGGCAUUUCUAGA